ensembl:lncRNA
CUGUAUGCCAUGUGCCUGCACUAUACGUUUGGGCCCCACAAUAACAUCAGAUGCCAACUUGGGGGCAGGGUGUGUGUGUGAGCAGAAGUGACUGUACUGAGGGCCACAGGAUGACUGAGAGGACCUUUGGGGCCAGAUAACACCUUUAGCCCCUCCCUCCAGGGCUUGGUAUACAGCGGGCCCAUGGCCCUGUUCCCAAAGGAGUCUGAGGUCCAUGUUCUCGUCUACAACAUCCUCUCUGCUCAGCCACUCACUUGGCCAGGGGCAAGGUCACUGUCCACACAUUGGUGUGAACAUCAGAAUUCACUUCCUGUCAUGAUUUAAUUCUGCCAUUUCACCUCAUUGUAAAUCCUAGGCACAGGAGUCUAUGUGGCACUGCCCUGACUACAGUUCUACCCUGUCUCCAGCUCUUACACAUCAUCACAUCAGCAGAGGUGGGCUUGCCCACAGCAUCAGGCCCAUGCUACUCUGUCGUUUGUCUGGCACUUGCUGUCACAGGUUGGGGCACACCUUGCCUAAAAGACAUUGUUUAAGGGAAAUGUUCAACACAGCUACUCUGCCUUACUAGGCUAACAAAGCCGGCCCUGAUUCUUUUGUGGGGACUUUUCAUCAGAAACCUGGGAACACUCUGUGUGACCUCAUAAAUGACCGGGCCACCUCAGAUGAGCCUCUGUUUUCUCAUCUCUAUAAUGGGAGGUUGUCUCAGGACUCGUGGGCUGUUUUUCAUGCAUGGAGUUAUAUACGACCUCUCCACAGCUAAUGAGCUGGUCUGAUAAUGCUAGUAUUUAUGGGAAAUCAGUAUUCCCAGAGCCUGGCAGAGGGCUGCACAGCGAGCAAGGUGCAGGCAAAUGCACUGCACACCCUGACAGAGGCCCCAGAACAGGACUUCCUGGAUAGGAAGAGCAGGUCCACCUCUUCUGUCCUUGACUCCUCACUGGAGCUCAACCCCCAGGUGGAUUCCCUGGGUGAGUUUCUCCUGGACCAGCUGGAGCCUCCUGAACCCCCUGAGGCAGAGCCCCAGGAGGACUGUGUGCCAGCUCCAGCCUCCGAUGAAGUCCCACCUGCUGACCUCCUGCCCACUCCACCUGCAGCUCCCUCACCAGCUCUGGCCCCACAACGAGAGCCAACACCUGGAACCUCUUCACCAGCUGCAGAGCUGGAACUCCUGGUGGCUCAACAGCAGAUCUCAUCUCUUGAACUCUACAGGGAGGUCUACAGAGCUCUUGACCCACACCCGCCAUUCCCCUCUCUUACUGAUUUACUUAUUAUUGUAUUUAUUGCUACCCUUAUUUCUCAGAGAUAAGUCAAUGAUAGAAUUAAUGUAAAUAAAAUUUAAGAUUUUUGUCUUGUUUAAAAUGAUCAGCUCACUGCAUUCUCAGUCAUUUGCAAUGUUGUGCAACCUUCACCACUGUCCCAUUCUACAAC